rnacentral:rRNA from 1 species
CCUACGGGGGGCAGCAGUCGAGAAUCAUUCACAAUGGGGGAAACCCUGAUGGUGCGACGCCGCGUGGGGGAAUGAAGGUCUUCGGAUUGUAAACCCCUGUCAUGUGGGAGCAAAUUAAAAAGAUAGUACCACAAGAGGAAGAGACGGCUAACUCUGUGCCAGCAGCCGCGGUAAUACAGCGGGCUCAAGCGUUGUUCGGAAUCACUGGGCGUAAAGCGUGCGUAGGCUGUUGCGUAAGUCGUGUGUGAAAGGCGCGGGCUCAACCCGCGGACGGCACAUGAUACUGCGAGACUAGAGUAAGGGAGGGGGAACCGGAAUUCUCGGUGUAGCAGUGAAAUGCGUAGAUAUCGAGAGGAACACUCGUGGCGAAGGCGGGUUCCUGGACAUUAACUGACGCUGAGGCACGAAGGCCAGGGGAGCGAAAGGGAUUAGAUACCCCGGUAGUC